rnacentral:rRNA from 1 species
UACGAAGGGGGCUAGCGUUGCUCGGAAUGACUGGGCGUAAAGGGCGCGUAGGCGGUGUACACAGUCAGGCGUGAAAUUCCCGGGCUCAACCUGGGGGCUGCGCUUGAUACAUGUACGCUUGAGUUCGGAAGAGGGUCGUGGAAUUCCCAGUGUAGAGGUGAAAUUCGUAGAUAUUGGGAAGAACACCGGUGGCGAAGGCGGCGACCUGGUCCGAUACUGACGCUGAGGCGCG